rnacentral:rRNA from 1 species
CCCAGCAGCCAUUUCACCCUGCAACUCAAAACUGGCAGCCCACUGAAGCUCAGCAGGUGUGAGCCUGGUCAGUACCUGGAUGGGAGACCUCCUGGGAAAAACUUCGCUGCUGGAA